rnacentral:sRNA from 1 species
UAAGCUAAACAAUGGUGUGUUAGUAAA